AACCUCGGGAUUUUGGAUCAAAGAAGGUUGAAUCAACCUCAAGUCCAUCUAUCAAUGAUUUGAGAUGGGGAAGAACUCAUCAACCAAGCAAUCAACUUAAUUUAAAACAUCAAGUGAAUAUCAAAAGAAAAUAAAAAAACAAGAUUAAACAGGAUUAAUAAAAGAAAAUAAAAGAGAAAAUGUCAAAGAGGGGUUAAAACAU
rnacentral:lncRNA from 1 species